AAAAGGUGAUUGAAGUGGUGUUAAACCAAAGAAAGGAUAAAGGUGUUUAGAUCAAAAGGGUAAUAGAAAUGAUAGGGGCGGUGUUUAUACCAAACAAGAAAUAGGAAUUAAUUGAAAUGGUGUUUAAACCAGGGACGGGAAUCAAAUGUUAAAGUAGUGUUUAAACCGAAGAAAGAAAGAAAGCAGAUGAGUUGAAAAAGUGGUGUUUG
rnacentral:lncRNA from 1 species